rnacentral:rRNA from 1 species
UACGAAGGGGGCUAGCGUUGUUCGGAAUCACUGGGCGUAAAGGGCGCGUAGGCGGCCUGGCAAGUCGGGGGUGAAAGCCUGUGGCUCAACCACAGAAUGGCCUUCGAUACUGCUGGGCUUGAGACCGGAAGAGGUCAGUGGAACUGCGAGUGUAGAGGUGAAAUUCGUAGAUAUUCGCAAGAACACCAGUGGCGAAGGCGGCUGACUGGUCCGGUUCUGACGCUGAGGCGCGAAAGCCAGGGGAGCAAACGGG